GACGAACGCUGGCGGCGUGCUUAACACAUGCAAGUCGAACGGAAAGGCCCCUUCGGGGGUACUCGAGUGGCGAACGGGUGAGUAACACGUGAGUAACCUGCCCUUGACUUCGGGAUAACUUCAGGAAACUGGGGCUAAUACCGGAUAGGAAUCCUUGCUGCAUGGUGGGGGUUGGAAAGCUUCGGCGGUUUUGGAUGGACUGGCGGCUUAUCAGCUUGUUGGUGGGGUAGUGGCUUACCAAGGCUUUGACGGGUAGCCGGCCUGAGAGGGCGACCGGCCACAUUGGGACUGAGAUACGGCCCAGACUCCUACGGGAGGCAGCAGUGGGGAAUAUUGCACAAUGGGCGGAAGCCGGAUGCAGCAACGCCGCGUGCGGGAUGACGGCCUUCGGGUUGUAAACCGCUUUCAGCAGGGGCGAAGCUUGUGGUGACGGUACCUGCAGAAGAAGCACCGGCUAACUACGUG
rnacentral:rRNA from 1 species